CUAACCGGGACUUACUCACUCAGAUCUCGGCGCCACACAUCGUCCCCACCUCGAGGAAUCAACCAACUGUCCUCACUGCUGCACUGGCUGGCGGGGCGGGACAGGGCGGGACGGGAACAAGAGAGCAACACUAAGGGGCGUGUGUCUGCAGCUCAUUAUCGCAUUCAGUAUUAGUGUCAGCGGGGUGUCGAGUCUUGUGUGGCGGGGCGGGGCGAGUUGGGGAAGGAGGCGGGACACGGCAGCUACAUUAUCACCCGUGGGACGCCCAAUGGAGUGAUGUAACAGCAGAAGUAGCUCCCGAACCCACUGACACCGCCAUUCAGUGUUCCGAUAAGGUUUGCGUCCAGCGUGCAAACUCCCCGUGAUGGAGAGCGUAAGGAAGAAUGCUUAGCAGAUGACUGAUUGCAAAGUGGGAAACGCCGAUGAGGUAGAACAGGAGGUGGUGAUGGAGUGAAAGGAAGAGUAGUAGUAGUAGUAGUAGUAGGAAGAAAUAUAAAAAUACAACAAAAUUGCAAGAGAAAAACAAACAGCAACAAAUCUUUUUAAUUAUUGCUAAGUUGUUUAGUGUUUGAUGGUGAAGAAAACGCUUUUACUGGAAAGUUUGUCUUGACAGGAAGA